rnacentral:rRNA from 1 species
GUGCCAGCAGCCGCGGUAAGACGUAGGGGGCGAGCGUUGUCCGGAUUCAUUGGGCGUAAAGAGCGCGCAGGCGGCUUGGUAAGUCGGAUGUGAAAAUCCGGGGCUCAACCCCGGACCUGCAUCCGAAACUGCCCGGCUAGAGGUAGGCAGGGGAGAUCGGAAUUCCUGGUGUAGCGGUGAAAUGCGCAGAUAUCAGGAGGAACACCGGUGGCGAAGGCGGAUCUCUGGGCCUUACCUGACGCUCAGGCGCGAAAGCUAGGGGAGCGAACAGGAUUAGAUACCCUUGUAGUCC